AUGCUGAGAUUGCAGGGUCUUGCUGUGUCCCCCAGGCUGGAGUACAGUGACCAUAUAGCUCACUGCAACCUCAAACUCCUGGGCUCAAGGGAUCCUUCUGCCCCCGCCUCCCAAGUAGUUGGGACUGCAGGUACACAUCACCAUGCCUAGCUCGUUUUUAAUGUUUUUGUAGAAAUGGGGUCUCCCUUUGUUGCCAAGGCUGGUCUCGAACUCCUGAGCUUAGGCAAUCCUCCUGGCUUGGCCUCCCAAAGUGCUGUGAUGACAGGCAUGAGCCACUGCACCGGCCUAAAGGGACCGUUUUAAAGGAAUUGCUUUGUGAGCAGUGAUGAAUCUGCUGCCAAAAAAGUAAAUCAGAGCUGGAAGUAGGUCAGGGUCUUCAUGCCCUUCAGGGGCCAGAUGGACACCGGCUGAGGCAGCUAUGAGUCUUCUGUGGUGGAAACUGGGUUGUAGAGCUGAGGUUUCAUCGCACAGUACUGGGUUUAUGAAAUCUAUCCAGUAGGGAAGAUAUCAGCUGUCAACUGCCAGUUAUUUCUUGAGAGUUUUGGGUUUUCUUUUCUUUUUAGUCAGGGAAAAUGAGAGUGAGAGAGAAGGAAAAGGAAGCAACCAAUUAGUGGCCUCAAGACCAUUAAUAAUCACAAAUCUCAUUAAGCACGAUUCUGACUCACAGCUUGCUUAAAGUUAAAUUGCCGUUUUCAAUGUUCAAAUUGUGAAUUUGGUGGCAUAAGGUUGUUCCUUCAUACUGUAAUUGGAAAACUUUGGGGCAGGACUCUAGGACUUACUUUUGACCCUCAUUCCACCCCUUACCCUGCUCUUCAUUGUUCUAAAAAAUGGGGACACAGAUUGAUUGAAUACAUACUAUUUAAGUUUCAUGAAAGCAGGAAUAUGUUUGCUCUGGUCACUAUUGUAUUCCCAGCACUUAGAACAGUGCCUGGAAUAUAGUUGGUUCUCAAUAAAUAUUAAUUGAGUAAAUGCUAUCUUACACAUUACCUUGCUUUGAAAUCUAAGACAAAACAAUACUAAUAGCUUUUAAGUAAUGAUGGCUUCUGGUAAGCUUCAUACCAAUUUCCCUUGUAGUGUUACAUAUUUAUUUUUAAAGCAACAACUCGUUUAUUUAGAUUAAUGAAAACAAAUACUGUAUUGUGAGCCCACCUUUUCAGUGUUCCAGUGAUAUCAGGCAAUCUUAAAUUUUAACCAUAAAUAAUUUUGAUAAAAGAAACAUAUGCAAACAGCCCAUAAACCAGGUGUGGCUGUUCAUCCAGACUUUGCAGGCUUAACCCAAAUAUUUGAGGCAGGUUUUUAAAAAUACAAUCUAAAGAGACAAGACUUCUCAAUACUGGAGCAGUGAUGUGCUUCAGAGACCUAGAUAACAGGGGGGUUUUGAAGGGCACCCUCCUAGGAAGGACCUCCUAACUUCUCAGUUUCUGCCUCUGUUGACUCAGAAAGGAGCUCCCAGUGGUGUGACUUGAGCGUGUCCCGUGCCCACAGGUCUCCUGAGAAAGUGGACUGUGUCUUCUCAAUGUCCGGGCCCAAGGAGAAGGUGUUGAACUGAAGGGAAGUUCAUUUAGAGGGAGGCCUUUAUCUCAGGAGAGAAACUGAUGUAAGUUCUCAGUCCAGCAGGAAGGAGAGUGAUAUCUGAAGCAAUCGGAUGCCUUCUUUGCAGAGGGAUUUGAAUUUGAAACUGUAGAGACCAUCAGCACUCGCUAGUCUGGACAGAAGCAGAUGGCAGGCAGAGACAGCAGUGGUAGAAGUAACGAGUCAGGACAAACCAUGGCCAAGCAGGGCUGAGCGGCCAGGGCUCUGUGACAGCAGCCCCAGCUCCCGGAGCAGCAAAUGCCAACUCAGCGGAGGCAGCUGGUGUUGCCUCUCAGAGCUGCUGUGGAAACCGUGCGCGGGCUGCCUGUGAAUGACCUUCCUUUCAGGCUCCCGUAGCCUGCCGAGGCUCUCUCUGUUCUUUCCUUCCUGUCUCCUUGGCUAACCUGGAAGGGUCUAAUUAACACAUGUGUAAAUUAAGAUCUCCUCUGGCUCAAUAUUCUAGAAUUACACUGAGAAAGCUCAUUGAUUCAGACCACUUCUUCCACAUUUU
ensembl:lncRNA